UACGUAGGGUGCAAGCGUUGUCCGGAAUUAUUGGGCGUAAAGAGCUCGUAGGCGGUUUGUCGCGUCGAAUGUGAAAACCCGGGGCUCAACCCCGGGCCUGCAUUCGAUACGGGCAGACUAGAGUUCGGUAGGGGAGUCUGGAAUUCCUGGUGUAGCGGUGAAAUGCGCAGAUAUCAGGAGGAACACCGGUGGCGAAGGCGGGACUCUGGGCCGAUACUGACGCUGAGGAGCGAAAGCGUGGGGAGCAAACAGGAUUAGAUACCCUGGUAGUCCACGCCGUAAACGUUGGGCGCUAGGUGUGGGGUUCCUUCCACGAACUCCGUGCCGCAGCUAACGCAUUAAGCGCCCCGCCUGGGGAGUACGGCCGCAAGGCUAAA
rnacentral:rRNA from 1 species